GACAGAGGUGCCGAGCGUUAGGCGGAAUCACUGGGCUUAAAGCGUGUGUAGGCGGACUUCUAAGUACCUUGUGAAAUCCCACGGCUCAACCGUGGAACUGCUCGGUAUACUGGUCGUCUUGAGCCACCUAGGGGCGAGCGGAACAAGCGGUGGAGCGGUGAAAUGCGUAGAUAUCAAGUGGAACACCAGUGGCGAAGGCGAGUCCCUGGACAACUCCUGACACUGAGGCACGAAAGCUAGGGGAGCAAACAGG
rnacentral:rRNA from 1 species